UGCAGUCGAGCGGAAACGACACUAACAAUCCUUCGGGUGCGUUAAUGGGCGUCGAGCGGCGGACGGGUGAGUAAUGCCUAGGAAAUUGCCUUGAUGUGGGGGAUAACCAUUGGAAACGAUGGCUAAUACCGCAUAAUGCCUACGGGCCAAAGAGGGGGACCUUCGGGCCUCUCGCGUCAAGAUAUGCCUAGGUGGGAUUAGCUAGUUGGUGAGGUAAUGGCUCACCAAGGCGACGAUCCCUAGCUGGUCUGAGAGGAUGAUCAGCCACACUGGAACUGAGACACGGUCCAGACUCCUACGGGAGGCAGCAGUGGGGAAUAUUGCACAAUGGGCGAAAGCCUGAUGCAGCCAUGCCGCGUGUAUGAAGAAGGCCUUCGGGUUGUAAAGUACUUUCAGUUGUGAGGAAGGGGGUAGUGUUAAUAGCGCUAUCUCUUGACGUUAGCAACAGAAGAAGCACCGGCUAACUCCGUGCCAGCAGCCGCGGUAAUACGGAGGGUGCGAGCGUUAAUCGGAAUUACUGGGCGUAAAGCGCAUGCAGGUGGUUCAUUAAGUCAGAUGUGAAAGCCCGGGGCUCAACCUCGGAACUGCAUUUGAAACUGGUAAACUAGAGA
rnacentral:rRNA from 1 species